rfam:Diceros bicornis prion protein (PRNP) gene, partial cds.
CCAUGGCGGUGGCUGGGGUCAGCCCCACGGCGGCGGCUGG